UAUAUUAAAUGGUUUGUUAUUGAAUGUUAUAAUUUAUUUUAUAUUUAUGUUUUUGUUUAAUGAUAAAUGUCCUUAUUUGGACAGUAACGCACUGUAACUCCAAUCCGGCAACAAAGAUAGGUUAAGGGUAUUACAUUAUCAUAGAUUUCAACCUCAAUCCACCAACCUUUAUUGGGGCAAAAAGCACAUCCCACCUCACCAAUGAACUCUUCUAACUUCCUCCAUAAAUCCUUAAACAAACCCCUAAUUGCGCUUGUCUAACUGAUCACAAACACCUAUCAGAAGACAAAAAUACACAUAAUAUAUACAAUAUAUAUUAUUAUUGGCUACUAAGAAUAUUUACAAGAACACAACAAAAAAUAAGUAACUUACUUGCAUAUGAAAAUUAGGUCAGAAUUAACCCAUUAUUCAGCAAAUCAAAACUUUAUUAUAGAAAAUAUUUUCUCAGAAAAUUAAAUAAAAAGCAAUUCCCAAGAAAGAUUGGAAGGGCCACAUGUCCCCACUUAAAAUCUAACCUCCUAGAAAAAAUAUUGUCAAUGUCGGUUAUUCUAAAUCAAAGUGAAAAUUAGGGAUCUAAUAAAGUGAGUGAGGUUUUAUUCCGCUUAACUUUAUCACCCUAGUAAUGUUUAAGACAUUGACCAUUGACUUUGAACUUACCUCCCUUACCAUCAUGUAGUUAAUGACCCCGUAUGGAAAGACUUGGCAAAUGGUGAAUGGACCAGGUCAAUGAGAUUUUAACUUACCAGAAAAGAACUUUAAUAUGGAAUUGAACAACAAGACUUGUUAACCUGCUUCAAACUCACAGAUUCGAAUGUGUUUGUCAUGUCAUAUUUUUAAUUUCUCUUUACACAACUUGGCAUUUUCAUACGAAAACAUUUGAAAAUUUUCUAAUUCAUUGAGUUGAAGCAUUCAUUUCUCUCCAACAAGCUUGAGAUCCAAAUUAAGUUGCUUGAGAGCCUAGUAAACUCUAUGUUCUAACUCCAAAGGCAAAUAACAGACUUUCCCAAAAACUAACCGAUAGGGAGACAUUCCUAAAAGUGUUUUGAAUGUUGUCCGAUAGGCGCACAAAGCAUUAUCCAAUCUUUCGGAUUAAUCUCACCGGUUUGGAUGGAUUACCUUCUUGAGUAUACCUUUUAUCUCCUUAUUUGCCAAUUCAACUUGCCUAUUUGUCUGUGUAUGGUAAGUUGUGACAAUCUUAUGCUUCACUUCAUGUUUGUUGAGCAACCAUUUCAACCCAAAAGAAACUCUACUUACUUGUGAAUUACGGAUUAAACCAUGAAGAUAUACAUAUGAAAAUGAAACAAUUGCUCUAAAUUCGAUUCUCAUCAUGACCAUUACGUUGUGACAAUCUUAUGCUUCACUUCAUGUUUGUUGAGCAACCAUUUCAACCCAAAAGAAACUCUACUUACUUGUGAAUUACGGAUUAAACCAUGAAGAUAUACAUAAGAAAAUGAAACAAUUGCUAUGAAUUCGAUUCUCAUCAUGACCAUUAGGUUGUGACAAUCUUAUGCUUCACUUCAUGUUUGUUGAGCAACCAUUUCAACCCAAAAGAAACUCUACUUACUUGUGAAUUACGGAUUAAACCAUGAAGAUAUACAUAUGAAAAUGAAACAAUUGCUAUGAAUUCGAUCCUCAUCAUGACCAUUACGUUCUGACAAUCUUAUGCUUCACUUCAUGUUUGUUGAGCAACCAUUUCAACCCAAAAGAAACUCUACUUACUUGUGAAUUACGGAUUAAACCAUUAAGAUAUACAUAUGAAAAUGAAACAAUUGCUAUGAAUUCGAUUCUCAUCAUGACCAUUCUUGCAACCCUAAAGAACAACAUAUCCUGGCUGUCCAAAGUGAAAAACUGUUAAAGGCCAACAGUUAAAACAUAGAAAAGUAGAUCAAAUGGAAUUUCUUGAGACCAAGCAUGUUAUAAUGCCCUCUAAUUUGUUAUUGAAUAAUUAUUAGAAGCACUCUCUUACGGAAAAGAAUAGGUAACAUCAUUUCAGCGAUAGGAACACAAAUCCGAACCGAUAACCCCUGAACCCAUCAAGCUAAGCACUCACACCGCAUAACAUAGAUGAAAAAGCAAAAAGAUAAAUGGUAAGUAAAGAUACAUAUCUAAAAUCAAAUGUUAAAAAUAGAGGGAAACAAAAAACAGAAAAAAUAGAACACAGUAGACUAAAAAAUUAUAGAUUCCGCCCUCAUCCGAAUCCAAGUAUCAUAUUUCUAUGUGCUUUUACUCGAAAAAUAAUAGGGAAAACAAUAAUGGUAUCACCAAAAAACUCAGUAGUUUCAAUUGUUAAAAACAAGUCACAGAUUUCAAAUUCCCAAUGGCAGACUCUAAAUCAUUGCAACAAAUGAGUUUAACAGCUUGAUAAAAAAAUUCUAUAGAUCGAAAUACCUGAAAAUUAUCGCUAAUGGAAGGCAACGGGGAGGUUUGCGGGUUGGGAAGGAGAACCGCCAGGAGAACUGCUCCAAAAAUCUCCACGUCGUACGUCCUGAACUUGAGCAGCAAAUUGCAAGCUCCACAUCACUUGCUCAACAGAAAGGUCUCAAGGGUUUCUCCCUCUCAUAAAAACCCUAUUCCUGCUGUAAAGUGAGGAUGUGUGUGUGUUUGGCUUUUUCUGACCUAAAACUAAAAAAUAUUGAGGAAGAAAUUGAGAAGAGACAGAGAGAGAAGGAGUUGGCGAAUAAAUAGAGUGCUAUGGAUUGAAGACAGAGGAAUGUGUAGAUGCGGAGGAAGUGGCUAAGGUUUGUUUUGAAAGGAAAAGAAGGGAAGGAAGACAGAAGAAAGAAAGCAAAAGAGAUUGGAUUAACAAAGAAGGAAGAAGGGAAAACCAGCAAAAAAUAAACGAGUAAAAAAAACCUGAGAGUUUUUUAUAUUAUUUUAUUUUGAAAAUAGUUUAAGAAUAUUAAUGGUUUCAUUUAUUACUUCUUCAACUUGAUCAUGAAGUUGUGCUGGUCUUUCAAUUGGUUACAUCAUCAACUGGGUCGGGAAAAUACUAGGAUUCUUUAGUCUGUAUAGAGUUUUUAUAUUUUGAAAACAGUUUUAAGAAUUUUAAUGGUUUCAUUUAUUGCUUCUUCUCUUGCCGGUUACUAUACAGAAAGAGAAGGGGGAAAGAAACCUAAGAGAUAUUUUUGUAUUAUUU
rnacentral:lncRNA from 1 species